GAUUGUGUUUGUGUUUGUUGUGAAGCAAGUCUAUGAGCAUAAAUUGUGGCUAUGGUUGGGGAAUCAGGGUCAGAAAAUUCUGGGUCAGAAGAGAGGGAAACAUAUGGGGGUGAUUCUGGUGCUGAGGAUGAUGAAGAUGAAGUGCUUUGGUGGGUUUGUUUAGGUUCAGAGGGAGGUAUGAAUGUACGGGCUAUAUUUAGAACUGGUGUAGGUUGGGAGGUUCUGGUGAUUGAGGGUGAAAUAUCAGAGGUGGUAUAAAUAGG
rnacentral:lncRNA from 1 species